rnacentral:rRNA from 1 species
CGUAGGUUCCGAGCGUUAUCCGGAUUUACUGGGCGUAAAGCGUGUUCAGGCGGCUCAGCAAGUCGGGCAUGAAAUCUCUCGGCUCAACCGGGAGAGGCUGUCCGAUACUGCUGGGCUUGAGGGCAGUAGAGGGUGGUGGAAUUCCGGGUGUAGUGGUGAAAUGCGUAGAUAUCCGGAGGAACACCAGUGGCGAAAGCGGCCACCUGGACUGUACCUGACGCUCAAACACGAAAGCUAGGGGAGCGAACGGGAUUAGAAACCCCGGUAGUCCUAGCCAUAAACGAUGUUGACUAGGUGUCAGCGGUCUAAACCCCGUUGGUGCCGGAGCAAACGCACUAAGUCAACCGCCUGGGGACUACGGCCGCAAGGUUA